rnacentral:rRNA from 1 species
UACGAAGGGCGCGUGUGUUAUUCGUUUUAAUUGGGUGUAAAGGGUACGUAGGCCGCUUGCGCGCAGUCUGGACCAAAAUUGCAGAGUGUUCCUAUGCAGUGGUCUUUUACGGUGCGAGCUUGAGCUGGGGAGUGGUUGGGGUAAUUUUUUGUGUAAGGGUAGAAUCUUGCCAGACAAGAACGAACACCAGAUAGCAAAGGCGCCUUUCUAGCCCCAUCUGACGCUAAGGUACGGAAGCUUAGGUAGCAAACAGA